CAAGGCUUGACAUGAACCGGUAAUACCUGGAAACAGGUGCCCCGCUUGCGGUCGGUUUACAGGUGGUGCAUGGUUGUCGUCAGCUCGUGUCGUGAGAUGUUGGGUUAAGUCCCGCAACGAGCGCAACCCUCGUUCUAUGUUGCCAGCGCGUUAUGGCGGGGACUCAUAGGAGACUGCCGGGGUCAACUCGGAGGAAGGUGGGGACGACGUCAAAUCAUCAUGCCCCUUAUGUCUUGGGCUUCACGCAUGCUACAAUGGCCGGUACAAAGGGUUGCGAUACUGUGAGGUGGAGCUAAUCCCAAAAAGCCGGUCUCAGUUCGGAUUGGGGUCUGCAACUCGACCCCAUGAAGUCGGAGUCGCUAGUAAUCGCAGAUCAGCAACGCUGCGGUGAAUA
rnacentral:rRNA from 1 species